UUCCGUCCCUGCCUGGCGCCCUGCGUCCCCUCCCUUCCUCGCCCUCUCCCCCGGCGGGUUCUGGGCGUCCUUGCAAGGAAAGGACUUGAGAGGGUGGCUUCGAGGCCCGAGAGCUCGCAUCGAUCAUUGCAAACGUCGCUUAAAAAGCGGGUGCAAGCUCCACCAGGCGGUGGAAACUUGGGUAGCACUCUAGAGAAGCGACAGCGCUCCCGUUGUCGCAGCCAGCCGGGGACGCCCAGGCGCCUGCCUCGUUGGAAGCGCGCUCCUGGGCUUCAGGGUGGUACGGGGGACACCCUGGCUUUCACAAGACUGUUUACAAUGGGCCAUGAUCUAAGCUCAGAGGGGACUCAAAGGGGCAAGCGGUCCCCUCCCAUAAGGCCACAGGCGAGCAGGAAGGCUCAGGGGUGAGCAGAAGGGCAUUUGGGAGGUCAAAAGUGGACCUGGUGGAGGAAAAUGGGUUUCCUUUCUGCACCAGUCGCAAGCAUGUACAGAAAAUGCACUCAACCAGAAAAGGCGACAGGAGCAAGUGUGCAGGACAACCUAACCGAAAAGAAAAAAACUGUCAGGGAACCAGAAACACGCCACCAACCAGGAUAUCACUGUCCCUUUCCAGGGGACAGGGGACCUCUCUUCAGUUUGCAUCUGCUUAACUUUGAGCAACAGAUCUUUAAAAAGCUCUCUUCCUAUAAG